rnacentral:rRNA from 1 species
GGCUCAGAACGAACGCUGGCGGCAUGCCUAACACAUGCAAGUCGAACGCGUGGCGCAAGCCACGAGUGGCGCACGGGUGAGUAACGCGUGGGAACCUGCCCUGGAGUGGGGGAUAACCCGGCGAAAGCCGGGCUAAGACCGUAUACGCCCUUGGACGAAGGUCCUUGGGGAAAGAUUUAUCGCUCUUGGAGGGGCCCGCGUCGGAUUAGCUAGUUGGUGGGGUAACGGCCCACCAAGGCGAUGAUCCGUAGCUGGUCUGAGAGGAUGAUCAGCCACACUGGGACUGAGACACGGCCCAGAGUCCUACGGGAGGCAGCAGUGGG